AAUGAGAUUGUUAGUGCUUCUCAUGAUAAGUCUUAUGGGACUUUUUUGUACUCAAAAAGCCCUAUCAUUUCCAUACUGGAUAAAUCCACUACAGAAAUGAUAGAGCC
rnacentral:ncRNA from 1 species